rnacentral:lncRNA from 1 species
AUUAAUGGAAGAAAAUAAAAGAAUGAUAAGAAUAGUUAAAUGAAUGAACAAUAUGUAAAUAAGAAAGUUGAUGCAUAAUUAAACGAAUAAAAGUAAAAGAAUAAUUAAUGAUUAAACAAUUAAAUGGAUAAAUAAAAAAGGUUAAAAAAAUGCUUAAGUCAGCCUAACUCUCGCAAUAUGAAGAUUCAAUGAAAUUCCUCCAC